rnacentral:lncRNA from 1 species
GCUCGGGCAUCCGUGUCUAGCCGAGGGGAGGGGGUGGCGUGUGAGUGCGUGGAGGGUAAAAGCCAGUCAGUCAGUGAGAAGCAAAGAUCAACCACCUCAGAAGAGCCAGAUUCCACUUCUGUGGCCAGGACUUUUACAUUAUGGCUGGUCCGAUUGUUUUACCCUGCGUUCUAUGCUACUAAACCUUGGAUCAUUCCUAAAGUACAAAUUCUGUUCUCGAACCACAAACAAGGCUAAAAGAUCGGAGGAAAUUCAGUGAAUAUACAGGAUUGGGGUUGUGUAUUUUUAAAAGUGUCUGAUGAUUUGUGAGCCUCAAGUGACUACUCUGUGGAAUCAUCUGUCCUUGCCUUUGAAUUAGCUUUCCCUAGGCCAUGAGUCAACAUUAGUAGUUUAUACAUCCAAAUUGAUGACAAGAGCACCUCAAAGGCAGCAGCCUCAAGGAGCAGCCAUGGCCCCAGACUUGUCGCACGGAUGCAGAAAACUUAAUGGAGGAGGCUGAGCAAAACAGAGCGUGACACUCCCAAUCAUCUGCAUGCUGGAAAUGAGGAAAUGGUUAUUGAAUGAUACAAGUGCUUUUCGAUCAUUUAGAAAGUUCUGUUUCCCAAGAUCUUUUUUUUUUUUUUUUUUUUUGAGACGGUGUCUUGCUCUGUCACCCAGGCUGGAGUGCAGUGGCGCGAUCUCGGCUCACCACAACCUCCACCUCCUGGGUUCAAGCGAUUCUCCUGCCUCAGCCUCCCGCGUGGCUGAGACUACAGGCAUGUGCCACCAUGCCCGGCUAAUUUUUGUAUUUUUAGUAGAGACAGGCACUUUGGGAGGCCAAGGCGGGCGGAUCACCCAAGAAUGGGAUAACUGCCUGGCACUCACCAAGCUACACUUGAAGAGGAUCAAUCCAUGUCAUCAUGUCCCCAAUUUCAUAGCACCAAGUAUUUUGUUUAUUCACAAAUGCCCUAUUAUGGACAUCUAGCAAACAAUGAUACAUCAGAAAAGGAGAUGUGCAUAAAUUUUCAUGGAAUAAGGUAUAAAGCCCAACUCUCAAUACAUACUAAUCAUAACAGGAGUCUAAGAAAUAUUCUGAAAUAAAUGGGAAUGCAGAAUGUGUCAGGCCUCUGAGCCCAAGCUAAGCCAUCAUAUCCCCUGUGACCAGCACGUACACAUCCAGAUGGCCGGUUCCUGCCUUAACUGAUGACAUUCCACCACAAAAGAAAUUAAAAUGGCCUGUUCUUGCCUUAACUGAUGACAUUAUCUUGUGAAAUUCCUUCUCCUGGCUCAUCCUGGCUCAAAAGCUCCCCAACUGAGCAUCUUGUGACCCCCACUCUUGCCUGCCAGAGAACAACCCCACUUUUUCCUUUACCUACCCAAAUCCUAUAAAACAGCCCCACCCCUAUCUCCCUUCGCUGACUCUCUUUUUGGACUCAGCCCGCCUGCACCCAGGUGAUUAAAAUCUUUAUUGCUCA